GAAUGUGACUUCACACUAUGAUAUUAUCUCUUGCUUGUCUGGAUGGAGAGACUGGUGUAGGUGUGCAGACACCUCUGGCUUGUGCCUGGCUGCUGGAAUACACAGAGUUGACUCACCUUUUGGCCCCGUUUGAGGCUCUUCAAAAUGUCCAGACAUCCAGAAUUUCACUGACAGCUCCUCUUCAACAAGUAAAGAUGAUCUUUAUAUUUCCAGUGGGGAAAAGUCAUGAGAACAUAAGGGCCUGCUGGAUCAAGCCAGAGGCCCACCAGAUGGCUAUGGGAUGCCCACAAGCAGGAAUCG